rnacentral:rRNA from 1 species
CAGCAGCCACGGGAAUACAGAGGGUGCGAGCGUUAAUCGGAUUUACUGGGCGUAAAGCGUGCGUAGGCGGCUUCUUAAGUCGGAUGUGAAAUCCCUGAGCUUAACUUAGGAAUUGCAUUCGAUACUGGGAAGCUAGAGUAUGGGAGAGGAUGGUAGAAUUCCAGGUGUAGCGGUGAAAUGCGUAGAGAUCUGGAGGAAUACCGAUGGCGAAGGCAGCCAUCUGGCCUAAUACUGACGCUGAGGUACGAAAUCAUGGGGAGCAAACAGGAUUAGAUACCCGGGUAGUCCCUGUCUCUUAUAC